rnacentral:misc_RNA from 1 species
AACCAUAGAAACCUGCGGAGUACCUGCGGAGGGAUCAUUACAGAGUUCGUGCCCUCGCGGGUAGAUCUCCCACCCUUGUGUAUUUUCUACAUCUUGCUGCUUUGGCAGGCCGUUGGUUCGCCAACCACAGGCUCGCGGGCUGGUGCGUGCCUGCCAGGGGACCUCUCAAACUCGGUUUGUUAGUGUCGUCUGAGUACCAUAACAAUCGUUAAAACUUUUAGCAAUGGAUCUCAGAUCGGA